rnacentral:lncRNA from 10 species
AGCAAGGUGGCUGGCCGGCAGGCCAAUGGCGGCCAACGCCACUUCCGGCCGCCCUCCGAGCAUCGCUCUUCGGCAACCCGAAGCCACAGGAUGGAGGAGGGGGAUCCCAGCAAAGAUCCCAGUUUCUGACCUGUAGCAUAGUCCCUCUCUCUGAAGAACUUCCUGUAAUAUUUUUUGCUAGGAAGAGUUUGAAGUUUGAAAUCCCAGAAUGAGGAAAUUCAUCCAGCUUGGAGACUUCCAAUCCCUUCAUUGUGCAGAAGGUUGCUAAUGCUCUCAGGAGAAGCCCUUCACCAAGAGAAUACUUCCACAUAGAGUCCUCUCCAUUGAGACUAAGGAAACAUGCUAUGUCAUGUAGCCACAGCAGCCUUUGCAGCUGUUGAAGGCAGCAAGACUUGCAUGGCAAUCAGAAGACACAGAACCAAGACUCAUAUCCAGUUAUAAGAUGGCAGAUGGGACACACACUCAUCAGGCUUAGUGAGCAGCCAAUCCAGAGGGAACCAUACUCAGCCCUAGGGGCUGGGCGCGGUGGCUCUCGCCUGUAAUCCCAGCACUUUGGGAGGCCAAGGCGGAUGGAUCACCUGAGGUCACGAGUUCAAGACCAGCCUGACCAACAUGGAGAAAUCCCAUCUCUACUAAAAAUACAAAAUUAGCUGGGCAUGGUGGUGCAUGCCUGUAAUCCCAGUUACUCGGGAGGCUGAGGCAGGAGAAUCACUCGAACCCGAGAGGCAGAGGUUGUGGUGAGCUGAGAUUGUGCCAUUGCACUCCAGUCUGGGCAACAAGAGUGAAACUCUGUCUCAAAAAAAAAAAAAAAAAAAAAAAGCCCUAGGAAGAUUUCUUCAAACAGAUGAAGCUAAUGAUAUCCCCAGUGUGUUUGAAUAUAUUGAGAGAUCACACAAUAGGGACACUGUUUAGGGUUGAAUUAAUAGCAAGCAAAUGGGAUGCUAAGGAAAUAUAAAGAAUAAAAGUUCAAAGGGAAAACAAAAUGUUAUUCAAGAAAGUCAAAACAUCCAUCGUAACUUUUUUUUUUUUUGAGACAGAGUCUCGCUCUGUCACCCAGGUUGGAGUGCAGUGGCGUGAUCUCAGCUCACUGCAAGCUCCGCCUCCCAGGCUCACGCCAUUCUCCUGCCUCAGCCUCCCGAGUAGCUGGUACUACAGGUGGCUGCCACCACGCCCGGCUAAUUUUUUGUAAUUUUAGUACAGAUGGGGUUUCACCGUGUUAGCCAGGAUGGUCUCGAUCUCCUGACCUUGUGAUCUGCCUGCCUCAGGCUCCCAAAGUGCUGGGAUUACAGGCGUGAGCCACCGCGCCUGGCUCGUACACUGUUUUAUAUACCACUUGCAGUAUCAUGAUUGUAUAAAUACUAAAUAUCUAUUGAUCUAUCCAAAACUACAACAUAAGUAUUUUUGGAAUAUGGAGGAGUGGGUGCUGAGUAUGCAUGGGAGAAGGGAGGCUGAGGUGAAGGUGGGAGAGAAGGAGACAGUGAAAUAUUCAUCUUCCAAAUUGGAAACUCAAAUAGAUAAUGCCUAAACAUGAAAUAUCAAUAGAAAUGUAAUAUUUAAACAUAUGGUGGUGCUUCUGGGAAAAAGAAAAGAGGAUGGAGAAGACUGUUUGUUUGUAUGUUUGUUUGUUUAAACAAGCAAUAUGGAUGAAAUUACAGGCUAAGCUGCUUUAGCAAAAAGACACCAAAAUACAGAAGCUUAAAUGAGGUAGGUAUAAGUUUCUCUGUUUGAUAUGAUCUCAAGAGAAGCAAUCUGGGUUGGAAAGUCACCUUUAUGAUCCUCAAAACGUAGCUUCCACCUGUGGGACUAAGGCAGCCAUUCUAGUUUUGUCUUCCCAGCCAGAGGGAAGGAGGACAGGGUCAGGAGAGCACAUGUGCAUAACUGAUAGGAACAUGCCCCAGAAGGGCCACACAUCCAUCGGUCAGGAUGUGGGCAUAAGGACCACAGCUGCAUGGGAGGCUGGGAAGCAUAGGGUCUAGCUGUUAGCCACGUGCUCAGCUAAGACACUGGAGCCCUGAUAUUAAAGAAGGUGAGGAAUGAUGCUAGUGCUCAACCAGCAGUCUCUGUCACAUCAGCUUUGCAGAAUCAUUUGAUUCUUUCAACUAGGUGCAUAUACAACUUCAAUACAAAUGAAAACUAAAUAUAAGACAUGGUUCUUAAAAAUCAUCUUUUGUACAAUUGAGGACACAAUCAAAACCCAGACACCAGGGUCCUGAAGCAGAAUGCAGGCAUCCACAGAAGAGGCGGUGCUGAUGGACUGGACCCCAGAGAGUCCACACCUGCUUGGUGCCAUACCUUGGGUCCCUCCAGAUCAGGAUGCUCCCAGCAACUUUUCUAGGAUGGUUAUACUGCACAUGCUGCAAAGAUGAGUGGGCAUCCCUGCAAGCCUAUGGUUUUAGAGUAAAUGGUUCCAAAAGAAGGUAUGAAGCAGACCCAUAGAUGGGGAUUAGUGCAUAGGAGGUUUAUUGGGGAGUACUCUUGGGAUCAACAUCUGUGAGCAACGAGAAAGAAGCAGGAUUGAGCAGGGAAGAAGGUGGGUGUUCUGGAGCUGAGAUCAAACUUCAGAAGUGUUGUGGCAAGGGGGCCCAGUAUUGGUGAGUCUUUCAAUGUGACUGCUCCAAGAACUCACAGCUUGGGGGUGUCAUCUCAGGUGAAGUUGUUGUGUUCAGCCUGGGCAAUUCUGGAGAGGCCUGACAAGUGAGGCCUGCCCCUGCAGAACUCCUGGCAGCUCAGGGAACACAUUUUUCAUUCCUGAGAUGUUGCUUCACAGCAUCUACUCUGUGUGGAUCCAAGGAGCUGCCUCUGGGUCUCUGGGAAAUCAGUCGUUUGAAUUUGGAUUCCAGCGUGUGGCUCUUACAUUUCUUUUUAGGAGAAAUCCAAUAGUGGUGCUCUCAUUAUGAUGACAGAGGGGCUGGGAGGUGCCAGGGGCCCAGCAGGGAAGUGGCAGGAGUACAGCAGCAUACUGUGUAACCUGGGCUAGGUUUUUACUCAAGGUGGCUUAGGACAGCUUUUGAAGAUUACAGGGAGAAGAACCUAAAAUAUAGGCAAACCAGAUGAUAACUACCCUGCUUUCAUCUGUGCCUCAGGGUGAUUAGUCAGCAUUUGUUGGUUAACAUGUCAAGAACCCUGUGAUUUUGUCAAAUAUAUAUUUGGUCUUUGACUCCAUUUUCUGACAUACAACUCCUAAAAUCCUUAUAAUCUCCAAAGUGAUAGUGUCUUUUUGUAUGCUUAUGAGUUGACUAGUGGCUGACAGCCUCUAUGUAGCUUCAGGACAGGGACUGGUCACAGGAAAGACCAAGGCAGCAUUAGAGGGUCGGGACUCUUAGCCCCCUACUCCCACCUCCAGGAACCAGAGAGGGUGGAAAGGUUGUUGACCACCAAUGGCCAAUGAUGUAAUCAAUCCUGCCUACAGAAUGAAGCCUCCAUAAAAACCCAAAAGGACAGGGUUUGGAGAGCUUCUGCAUAGCUGAACACACGGAGCUUCCUAGAGGGUGGCACACCCGGAGAGGGCAUGGAAGCUCCCUACCCCUUCCCCCGUAUCUCCCUCUAAGCAUCUCUUCAUCUAUAUCCUUUGUAAUACCCUUUAUAAUAAACCAGUAAACCUAUGUUUCCCUGACUUCUGUGAGCCACUCUAGUAAAUUAAUCAAACCCAAAGAGUGGGUGGUGGGAGCCCCAAUUUGAAGUCAGUUGGGCAGAUGUUCCAGGGGCCCCAACUUGUGACUGGUGUCUGAAAGGGAGAUCAGUUUAGGGUACUGAGCCCUUAACCUGUGGGAUCUGAGGCCAUCUACAGGUAGAUAGCCUCUGAAUUUUUUUUUUUUUUUUUUUGAGACAGAGUUUCACUCUGUCGUCCAAGCUGGAGUGCAGUGGCUUGAUCUUGGCUCACUGCAACCUCUGCCUUCCAGGUUCAAGCGAUUCUCCUGCCUCAGCCUCUCAAAUAGCAGGGAUUGCAGGUGCAUGCCAUCACGCCUGACUAAGUUUUGUAUUUUUUAGUAGAGAUAGAGUUUCUCCAUGUUGGCUAGGCUAGUCUCACACUCCUGGCCCCAAGCAAUCCUCCCGCAAAGUGUUGGGAUUACAGGCAUGAGCCACAGAAUUGAAUUGAAUUAGACACUCAGCUUGUGUCUUCUGCUUGGUGUCUGGGGAAACCCCCACAUUUUGUCACUGAAGUCUUCUGUGUUCACUAUUUUUUUUUUUUUUUUUUUUACGUAAGAGCAGAGGAAAAACUGUGUGAGUUUAAGUAGUUGACUCACAAACCCUAAUCUUAAUUUAGGUUCCAGAAUGGCCCAAGGCAAAGGUUUUAAAUAGUCCUUCUCCAUCUGCCCUAGAGGGUUUAUUUGUUAUCACAGGGGUUGUUAGAAGGAAAUUUUCUUUGAAGAAAUGAGUGAUGCUAAGGCAUGUAGUUGGCUGAAGAGACUUCCACUGGCACCUCCUCCCUUGAUCUGGCAAACCCAGCAGCUGACCACCUUUGGAGUGACAGAAUCUCUCUCUCUUUAUGGAUAGAAUUCUGUCCUAUGGUCCCCACCUAAUGGAGAGCCACCUAUGUCAUCUCUGUCACCUACUCUGAUGUUAAAAUUUUGUUGUGACCACAACAAAGUAAAUAUUUCCUGCAAGAUGCUUUCCAAAGUACCUAAAAAGACAAGAGAAUGAGAGGAGGAGGUUGCAUGGCUAUUUUUGUACUUACCUCCCAAUAAAUGUUCGUGUGUAUGAGGCAGAAUUUGGUCUGAGACUUGCUUUCAUUUAAAAACAAGUCCUGGUGAGGUAGUGGGAGGGAAAGGACCUAGACCUUCACCUCCUUCUAACUGCUAGAGGCUACCAAUAUUUUUUAAAAGAGCCUGAUAUUUGUGAAUGGCUAAAUAAGCCCAGAGAUUAAGAAAGUAAAUGAUGCCUCAUAUUCUUGCUGGUUACAUGUUCCAACAAUCUGAACAGUAAAGAUACCUGAAAAAAAUGAUUAUCAACACAUUGGUUUAGUGCAGUGAUUGAUCAUAAAAGAUAAAUGAUCCAGCUGUAGAAAUUGGGAAUAUGAUAUAUGAUAAUGAUAGCAAGGCAAACCUAACCUGAUUAUUCUAGAUAUUCAUUUGUCAUUUACAUGGUGUCUGCUACUGGACUUGGCUUUGGGCAGGCUCAGGUUCUAGAAGAGUCUUUCAUGCCCCCAGUGAUCUGUGGCAUGGCUAUGGACAAUCCCUGGGUUUAACUCCUAUGUGUGAAAAAUCUAGAGGAUUCUAGUGGCCGAACAUACAGAAAAGUAAAUCCAAAAUCUAAUCUUGCUUUGAUUUAUGUGGUUGGAAGCGGGGAGGUUUGGGAAAUGCAGUCAGACAAAAGUCAUCCCAUCUAAAUAUUAAAUGCAAGAGAAUUAAAAGGAGACAGAGAAUAGAAACCACUGUCAAUAUGUUGCGAAUCUGACAACUCUGGGAUUAGACAUGAUUUUCCCAUGUUCCCUCACACAAACCCUCCAUUCAGGCCAGGCCUUUGCUCUUUCUAUCCCCAAGAGCUUGCCCACCAAUUUACACCUUGGCUCAUGAAACCUAGGUUGCCCUCCUCUAUUCACAAACUCUCACCACCCUUCAGCUAUCCCAUCCUCAUGUAUAAAAUGCCUCCCCAACUCCUGUUAGCCAGUGUUGAUCUCUUCCUGUAAACUCUGUUAACUUUGCCACUUAUAUAUUUCAUACUUUUUCUUCUUGAGAUUCUAAGUCCCACAAACAUUUACUGGGGCAGGCGGACCUUGUAGUCUUGUGAGACUAUGGACAGAUGAGGACUGUCCAUGGUUAGACAUGAUUAGUGAACAAUCCUAUACUGGGAAAACACAUGCUUAAAUGGGACAAUACUGAAGUAUUAUUUGCUGCAUUCUGGACUUCUUCCCUUAAUCUGCAUUUUUUUCUGGGCAAAAAGCCAGAAUGGCCCAAGGCAAAGGUUUUAAAUAGUUCCCAGGAAGCCACAUUCAGACUGCAAAGGCAUCCUACUGAAGGGGCCAUGGUGUUCAGAAAGGUAGAUGUCCUCUGGGUCUUGCCCUGACCCCAAGCACAAGGUCUUUCCCCUUCUGGAGUCCCUGCCGGGUCUCUGCUCAGACGUGGUCUGCCCUGCAGCUGUUGGGCUGGGAGCUGGAGGGCAGGCAGGCAAUGGGUGGAAAUCAGGGGAACGUUUCUCUUCAAAAACUGCUGUUUGAAGGCAGAAACCAGCUGUGCACCUUUCCUAAGGAUUCAGGAUGAGGAUGUUGGGAUUUGAGAAGAUAGAAAGAUCUAAGUCAAAAGCCAUUUGAAUAAGGUAGAAAUAUCUUUCUCCUGAAAGGAGGCUAAACAUAGAGACAUACCCCAAAGACAUGAGAAAAUGAGAGUCUUUAUACUUGGUGAAAACAAGAAAUGAAAGAUGAUGGAAAGAUGCAUGCAAAUUAUCUUCCAGCUUGCUCUUUUGAAGAUGCUCGUCUAAAAAUAAGAUCACGUGGAGGAGAAAUGACAUGUCUGGUGCUGAAAACAACCCUACUGGGACCAGGAGAUGUGGAGCAAAAUGUAUUCAGAAAGAGACUUUGCUCUGGAAACCAUUGCUCACUGCCCUGCUGCCAAGGUCACAGAGAGCUGGAGCUUUGCUGCUGCAAAGCUGUUUACAUACAAGGAUACACAGGAACGAAAGGUCAUGGGAGGUACUUGAGCCUGGAGUCUCCAAAGUCAAAAGACAAUAAACACACCAACUUUCAGGGCUUUUAACAAGCACAAUCGGGCCAAACAAAUUCUCACUUUGGAUGUAGAUCCACAACAUCUUGCAGCAGACGGAAAUAGGACUGGGGCAAGAGUUGGUACAAACAGAAAUACUAAGUUUAUCACGACCAAAAUAGGCAAUGGAGGGUAAAAGCCCGCAACCUACUUCAAAUAUAUCUGAACUGGUGUUAAAACUAAGCUAGCAUUGAAGAGAGGGAUAAAAUUCAGGAGCAAGUUUCCAAAGAGACUCAUAAGAACCCAGAGAGAGGAAAAUCUUUUUCAGAAAAUUCAUAAAAGUUAAUGAGUCGCCAUUCUGAUGUAACGGAGAGAACUUCAGUAAUAUGACCAGUGAUGGAGUUGGUGUGAAAUGCAUAGACUCCACUAUGACCUGACCGGGUAUUUCCUCAGCAAAUAUUUGGGUAUAUUUAAUUGAAAUGCAUUUGUGGCAAAAGUCAACUCCUACAAAAAAAUUGUUAAAAUAUUCUUCCUGGAAGUUGUCUCCCAAAGUGACUCACAUCAAGUAGUCUGAAUAAAUAUGGUGAGACUUGGCACCCUCUGAGGCAUCAUUUGCUAGGAAGAAAAUGCUUUUGAAUAUCCUAGAACUCUUGGAAAACUUACAGAACCAUUGGCCUCAUGCAAGCCCAUUGUCCCUGUCCAACACACCCCCACAUCCCCUUUCCCUCACCAUCAGGCACGAAAGUCCUUCCUAAGUCGCAAAUGCAAAUCUAACUGACUGGCUUCCUUCUUACAGACCAACCACAGCUACUUGUCUUUGAAAUUCAACUUCAAGGAAGACAGAAAAGUCUAUUUUUAAUCAGAGAAAAACCUCAAAUUGAGUGCGAAUUACUGCCUAGGCCCUGUUGAAUGCACACUAGAAUCACUUUUGAGAUGAUCACUAAUUUUAUGGAGUGAUAUACACCAGAAUGAACUUCUAGCCUGCUUUAUAAUCAAUCAGUUAAUCAACAAGUCUGAGUGGAGCGUGUAUGCUUUGCGUUAUCUGCAGUGCGGCCUGAGGUUACGGGAGAAAAAAAUGGCACUGUGUAUUGCUUGAAUGCUCAGGGCUGCGUUCAACUAAUUUUAACCAUUGAAUCAAAAUGAUCAGGUAGAGGGCAGGAAAUGUAGAAUGGCUUGAACAACUACCUCAUGAAAACAUGCAGUAUGCGUUUGUAAUUCAGCAUCUUAAAAUGUCUCUUUUGGCAGUAUUUCUUUACAAAUGUGGCAAAGCAUGAUAUCUUUGAGUAAAUUUUUAAACUUCACAAAAGUUUCUGAAAAAAAUAUGUACAAUCAAAGAAAAACACUUGGAAAUAAAUUCUGUCUAUAGUUUAUGCACAUUUAAUGUAUUUUCUCCUGAAAUCAUUAUGCAUCAACAUUUUUUGAAAUUUCUCUCUCUUAGCCUUGUAAAGUCCUAAUUCUAGUUUAUCACACUUUGAAACAACUUUCCUUCUUUUUUUUUGAGACAGAGUCUCACUCUGUCACCCAGGCUGGAGUGCAGUGGCGUGAUCUCGGCUCACUGCAAGCUCUGCCUC